GUAGGUGUAGGUUAGUUUUAAACUGUUAAUUUUCAAAAUUAAAGAGUUAACCUAUU
rnacentral:tRNA from 1 species